GUCCGGAAUUACUGGGCGUAAAGAGCUCGUAGGUGGUUUGUCGCGUUGUUCGUGAAAACUCACAGCUCAACUGUGGGCGUGCGGGCGAUACGGGCAGACUGGAGUACUGCAGGGGAGACUGGAAUUCCUGGUGUAGCGGUGGAAUGCGCAGAUAUCAGGAGGAACACCGGUGGCGAAGGCGGGUCUCUGGGCAGUAACUGACGCUGAGGAGCGAAAGCGUGGGGAGCGAACAGGAUUAGAUACCCUGGUAGUCCACGCCGUAAACGGUGGGUACUAGGUGUGGGUUUCCUUCCUUGGGAUCCGUGCCGUAGCUAACGCAUUAAGUACCCCGCCUGGGGAGUACGGCCGCAAGGCUAAAACUCAAAGAAAUUGACGGGGGCCCGCACAAGCGGCGGAGCAUGUGGAUUAAUUCGAUGCAACGCGAAGAACCUUACCUGGGUUUGACAUGCACAGGACGCCGGCAGAGAUGUCGGUUCCCUUGUGGCCUGUGUGCAGGUGGUGCAUGGCUGUCGUCAGCUCGUGUCGUGAGAUGUUGGGUUAAGUCCCGCAACGAGCGCAACCCUUGUCUCAUGUUGCCAGCACGUUAUGGUGGGGACUCGUGAGAGACUGCCGGGGUCAACUCGGA
rnacentral:rRNA from 1 species